rnacentral:rRNA from 1 species
UACGUAGGGUGCGAGCGUUAAUCGGAAUUACUGGGCGUAAAGCGUGCGCAGGCGGUUCUCCAAGUCCGUUGUGAAAGCCCCGGGCUCAACCUGGGAAUGGCAGUGGAAACUAGGGGACUGGAAUCUGGCAGAGGGGGGUGGAAUGCCGCGUGUAGCAGUGAAAUGCGUAGAGAUGCGGCGGAACACCGAUGGCGAAGGCGGGUCUCUGGGCAGUAACUGACGCUGAGGAGCGAAAGCGUGGGGAGCGAACAGG